rnacentral:ncRNA from 1 species
ACGCAUGCCAACGGGGGCUCGCACCAGCGGGCUGAGAGGACGGCUAGGGCCGUCGACCGUAUGAACCUGACCGGGUAAUGCCGGCGUAGGGAGGAUUCACAAUGUCAUC